UACGUAGGGUGCGAGCGUUGUCCGGAAUUAUUGGGCGUAAAGGGCUCGUAGGCGGUUUGUCGCGUCGGGAGUGAAAACUCAGGGCUUAACCCUGAGCCUGCUUCCGAUACGGGCAGACUAGAGGUAUGCAGGGGAGAACGGAAUUCCUGGUGUAGCGGUGAAAUGCGCAGAUAUCAGGAGGAACACCGGUGGCGAAGGCGGUCUCUGGGCC
rnacentral:rRNA from 1 species